UCUCUUUCUGUUUGCAACCUUCCUUCGUAUAACUGCUCAUUCUUUCAAGAUUCCUUUAUUUUGAGGUUUAGAAGAUUUUCAUUCGCAUUUUUGGAGUGGAUCGUUUGCGCUUUUGCAGUUUGAAGUGCCCUUGUUUUCGCGCUCCUUCAAGGUAUAGCUUUUAUGUCUCGAUCUGCACCAUAUGAUAUGUGUAAAUCAGGAAGAUGAAAUACAUUAUGAAAUCGUAGUGGCAACCCCGAGGAGAGGGUGUGAUUUCUCCAACUUGAUAGAUAAGAUGGCUCCUAAAGCAGCUAUAAAAACUCUUUGGACGGCAAGAAAAAAUGUUGUUGCUCAGAGUUUUCAGCUGAAAGAGAUCAGUGAAGCAGCCUUGCCCUCUAGCUCGGACUCAGGCACCUUUACUUCCAUAAAGAUUAUGCCCGACCCAGGUCUUUAACCGACUCCUCCUCUUUCCUCCUCGGAAAAGCAAAUAGCCCAUCCUCCUCCUUCAAAUCCCGAUCCGGUCCCGAAAGGACGCAAGACUUCGAGCUCCAACGCUUUUAGGAAGAGAGAUUUGCGUAGGUGAGAGAGAAAUUGCAUAAAUAAUCAGAGAGAUUUGUUAGAGGUCAGCAAGGUUAGGGAUGAAAAUUUUCCUAGCGGGGCAGGUAUUCGCGGGGAUUUACCCGCCGGGGGACGGGGAUGAGGAUCCUCGAAACAAAUGGGGCGGGGGCAGGGAGUGAGGUUCCUGCCAUGUGGGACCUGUUUAAUACCCGCAUAUAUAAAAUGACUAAAAUACCCCUGGUAUAUAUAUUAGUUCUAAAACUGUAACUCCAAAUCCUUUUCUCUCUACUGCUCGUCACUUUCCUUUUCUCAGAAUUCAAAUUCUCUCAUUCUCCUUCUUCCAUUCCUUUCCUCCUCCACUUUCACCGCCAUCCGCUGUCCUCGUCCCUUCUCACUGCCUCCACGGCUCCACCUCUCACACUUAAGGUCACCGUCUCACCGCAAAAGGUAGAUUCCUCAUUGCUGCCUCGUAGGUUCCCUCUCCUUCUCUUAGAUUUUCUUCCUCUCCUUCUCUCCGUGACCCUCCUCCCUUCAGACCUUUCACUGCCGUUCGCCACCUUCAUCCGCUCUCACUCACGCGCCUGACACCCAGUCCUAGGUGAACCGUCAUCGCCAAAGGCAAAAUCAUCGCGAGAAGCUAGAAGCAUCGCCGUCUUCAUCUUCGGGAGAGGCAGAAUCAUCAAGAGGAGCUUGAAGCAUCGCCGUCUUCGUCUUCAGCAGAGGCAGUUCGGUCUCUGUUGCCGCCUCCAACAAGAUCGUUGGUCGCUCUUCCUUUCGGUAAGUCAACCUCAGUGAUUUCAGUGAUUUUUAUUUACUUGAAGUAUUUGUUGUUUCUUUCAUUAUUUUGUAUUUUUUGUGAUUUUCUUUGAAUUCCAAACAAUUAUCUUGUGAUUUUGCUUGAUAUAUGUGCUUCUAUUUUUUUGAAUAAUGCA